GUCGAGCGGGCCCUUCGGGGUCAGCGGCGGACGGGUGAGUAACGCGUGGGAACGUGCCUUCUGGUUCGGAAUAACCCUGGGAAACUAGGGCUAAUACCGGAUACGCCCUUUUGGGGAAAGGUUUACUGCCGGAAGAUCGGCCCGCGUCUGAUUAGCUAGUUGGUGGGGUAACGGCCUACCAAGGCGACGAUCAGUAGCUGGUCUGAGAGGAUGAUCAGCCACACUGGGACUGAGACACGGCCCAGACUCCUACGGGAGGCAGCAGUGGGGAAUAUUGGACAAUGGGCGCAAGCCUGAUCCAGCCAUGCCGCGUGAGUGAUGAAGGCCUUAGGGUUGUAAAGCUCUUUUAUCCGGGACGAUAAUGACG
rnacentral:rRNA from 1 species